rnacentral:lncRNA from 1 species
CUAUACUUACCCUUUUUUGGUUGUUUAAAUUUAUAUCUUUAAACAACGUUUUUGGCUGUUGGAAAAAUGAGUUUUAUUAGUUGGGAAAAAAUAAGCUUAUCCCAACGUUUUCUUUAAUGUAUUGGAAAAUAUUUUAUCUAACCUAACUGUGUUGCUGAAAAUACCCACAUCACUUUAAAACGGUGGGGUUUAAUAAACCAGAAAAAUUAACCCUAGAGACACUGGUUUCUUUCUGCAGCCACAGGUCUUCUUCCGCCUUUUUCUUCUUCAUCACUAGACGACUUCUUCUUUGCUUAGAUCUGAUUUUUAUUUCAACAGUUAUCUUUCACUAACGUUUCAGCCACGCGGCUUUCCCUUAACUUUUGCUCUCAAAAUCUCUCUUUCUUCGCUGCUUCACACACUCCAAACAAUCCACAACUCAGUAGUGGCACAGCUAUGGAUGAAGAAUUCUCGUUCGACGAUCCAACUUAGUUGCUCGACUCAGCUUCUGAUUUCGCUCACCACCCCGGUUCUCUUAACGAUGCUGCAGUCAAAGAUUUUAUCGACCAUUUCCCUCUCCCUGUCAUCAUCAGGCACUCCAUUUUACUUCUACUUAAAUUUUCUUUUAUGCUCAUUUUUUUUCUCUCUAUUAAUUUGGGUAUUUCUAGGAAUUUUUUUACUGGGUAUUUGUUAUAUAAUUGCAAUCAUAUAACUUUGUUGCUUUGAUGCUGAAAUGAAUCACUUUUCAUCACGGGGGAUUUGUUUUAGGGUUUUCAGUUUUGACUUAAAAUAAUGGGGUUUUAGCUUUUACUAGCCCUCUUACAGUGCUUUGCAAACUAAAUCCGAUGUGCCUGACCUGGAAAAUACUCUGGUUGCUUGUUUGGAGAAAGUGUUUAAGACUAAGUAUGGUGCCUCACUCAUUCCACAAUACAUGGUAUGCAUUUGGUCUUCACUAAAUUAAUUGCUUGUUUUUCACUUGUAAAGGAAAAAACAAUUGAUUAGCUUCAGAUGUAAUAUAUGUUGUUUGGAUGCCUUGUGGGAAUGAGAGUCUUCAGAUAAUAUUAGCAUUACAAAAACAUUUUGAUGUUUUGAGUGUAGGCUUGAGUUGUUAGUGAUUAUUAAUUCCUUGAUAGUUAUGUUUUGGGUUUGAAAUGAUUCAGAAUGGGCACAGUUUUAGACAUGUUUUAAGAUCUUGAAUAAGUUAGUCUAAAGUAGCAUUUUUAAUAGUUUGGACUUUGGAAUUUAUAAUGUCCUCAUUUAUAUAGGCUUGUGAAUUUAUUAUGAAAUUUGAAACUACAUCUUCUGUUUUUUAGGCUUGUGAAUUUAUUAUGAAAUUUAUAAUGUCCUCAUUUUUAACAGUUCUGUUUUUUUCUUUUGUUUAAUUUUAUUUUAUCAAAUCUUAAGAGCUUUAGAAUCUUAUUGUUUCUGGUCUACAACUGAUAGGAAAGAGCUGAUCACGGUACUGCUCUUUCCCAUGGAUGAUCCACCUUGAAUGAUAGUCAUUCCACACCAAUUUCAUUUGUUGGCCUUUGCUAUAGUGUUGAAAUCAAGGAUUCACAUAAGAGCUGAUCACAGUACUGCUCUUUCCCUUGGAUGAUCCACCUUGAAUGAUGGUCAUUCCACACCAAUUUCAUUUGUUGGCCUUUGCUAUAGUGUUGAAAUCAAGGAUUUACAUAUUCCACCUUGGAUUAUCAGCAAAAUAUGUUCUCUAAUGGCCUCUAAAGGACAAAGCUUUGAAGCAAGGUAUAAUAUACAUUUUUUUUCUUAGAUCAAAUUAUUGCAUUCUAUCAGAUGUCUUAUUUUAGGUCUAUCAUCAAUUAUGAUAUCAACUAAUGUUUGGGAUGAUAUGAAAUUGUACUACUUUUUUCUCCCUCCUCCCCUUUUAAAAUGAGAAGUUUUGAAUGCAACUAUGAUAUCAUAAUAUUUUAAGAUGUUUACACACACAAAUGAUGCUGUAAUAUAUUGUUGGUUCCCUAACUUAUGAGGGUAAACAACAUGAACAAGAAAAAAAUGCUACAGGCAAACUAAUGGUAUUACCUACCUUUUUGUCUGAUUUUAUUUGGGGUCAUUUUUCAGCUUUACAAUGUAGCACUUUAGUUGUCUUAAAUACAACUUUUGGAGUGGUUUCUCAGGUAGUUGAUAGAGAAGUCACACUUAAAGAUUCACAAGAAACAACCUAUACAUUCUAUAUUCCCGAAGCAAUUGUUUCCCCUUGGUUGCAGUUUCAGACUGUAUUAGCUUUUAUGUAGUACAAUAUUAAUAUCAAUGUCCAUCGUCUUAGGUUUUUUAUUUGUUCACUUUUGUACAUUGAGUUGAAUGUUGUUGCUAUACAUUUCGACUAAAUGUUAGUGUAUUUUGAUUGUUGGAUUUGUUGUAAAUUAAAUGGAUGUCUAUAACCCCUUAAGCAUAUUAAAGUAAUGAGAUAAAACUCUUUACUUCAUUUAUAAUUUGGAGAUCAUUAAAUGGAGUAAUUAAGAAAAUUUAGUUCAUUAAUUAAAUGUAAUACAUUUAUUAAUUGAAUGUAAAGGAGCUUAUAAAUAGCACAUUGUAAGUGAAAAUAAGAUAAUGAAAAAUUCUCUCGUAUUUUAUCCACUUUUAUUUAUUUAUUUUAGUAAUUUUUUAUAACACGUUAUUAGCACGAGCUUCUACGAGUUCAUAGUGAAGAUCACGUCAUUUCGACUUUAUAUAAUUUGCCCGUAUAACUCUCGUUAAACUAUAUACGGUAUAAGUAUUUUCAUAAUUCUUUUAUUUUAUUUUCUAGAUAAAAUAUUUGUUUUGGGUAACAUUUUCACAUUUAUUUUUACAACUAAAAUCUAAUAAUGAUAAUUAUAUAUACAUGUUUUAUUUUAUUAAAAGAAAUUUCAAUUAAUAUAAUUUGUGUUUAGUUAUUACUAUGACUAUUUCUCUGUAUGUCAAUAUUUGACAUACAUAUUAUUAUUUAGCAGAUUUGGUAUAUAUAAUUGAAUUGUUUUACGAUUGAGAAUGCUUAUUAUUUUAUUAAUAUAUAUUUUUUAUUCAAGUGAUUAUAAUGUCAAAUCUUGUCAAACUUGAAUUUGCGGCCUUAGACAUCUUAGGCAAGAAUUAUUUGUCAUGGGUGUUAGAUGUUGAAAUUCACUUAGAUGCUAAAAGUUUAGAAAAUAGUAUAUUAGCAGAUAAAGAAGCAUCUAAUCAAGACAAGACAAAAGUAUUGAUUUUUAUUCGCCAUCAUCUACAUGGGUUAAAAGUAGAAAUUUCACUAUGAAAGAUCCUCUUGAAUUGUGAAAAAAUUGGAAGAACGAUUUGUCAUCAAAAAACAGUGAUACUCCCUAAAAUUCUUUAUGAUUGGAUGUAUUUACAGUUGUAAGAUUUUAAGUAAGUGAAUACAAUUUAGAACUUUUUAAAAUUAGUUUAACUAAAAUUAUGUGGAGAAAACAUAAUUGAUGAAGACUUAUUAAAGAAGAUAUUUUCAACUUUUCAUGUUACUAAUGUGCUCCUGUAGCAGCAUUAUCGUGAAAAAGAUUUUAAAAGAUAUUCUUAAUCGAUUUCAUGUCUUUUGGUGGCUGAACAAAAUAAUGAGCUAUUGAUGAAAAAUCAUAAAAUUCGUCCCAUUGGUUUUGCACCAUCCCUUGAAGUGAAUGUAGAGUACACAAUAAAUAUGUAAAUAGAAAAUAUAGAGGUUGUGAUUGUGGUCGUGGUCAUGGACGUAGUGGGAGACGUGGUUAAGGACAUAUUAGUAAUCGUUACCAUGGUGGUCAUAACACUGAUACUUCUAACCAUCAGAAAAGAAUAAUAAUGAAAGACAAGAAAGAAGUGGUCAAAAUAAUCCUUCAAAGAUUGUUGAGAAUAUAUGCUAUCGAUGUGGUAUGAAAGGGCAUUGGUCACGUACCUGUCGUACGUGUAACAUUCUGAAAUAGUGCCUAAACGGAACAGUGGUUGCGAAACCAUAAAUCUAAGGUAGAAAAAUUUAUUUUAUUAUCAUUUUAAGGUUUAUGGCAUGAUUGCAUGAUUGUGUGAAAAUUUCUAAAUGAAAUUUUAUCGAUAGAGGGUCCAAUUUGAUAUUUAGGACUAAAUUGUAAAAGUCGUAAAAUGUGUGUUCUAGUUCACAAAUGUACUAAGUACUUGUGAGUAAUGUGUUUUUAAAGUGGAGGUCCUUGGAUAGUAAUUAGAUCAUUAUACUAGUUUGGACAAAAAUACCUAAAGGAAGAUAAAACACCAUAGUUUUUAAUUAAUAGCAUUUUGGUCAUUUAGUUAUUAAAAUGAAUUAAAAACAAAAUUAAAAGUCAAUUUUUGUUCAUCUUCAACUCCUUGGUCGAAUUUCACAUGAGGAAGACAUAGCUAGGGUUUUUUAAGCUUCUAAACUCGAUUGUAAGUCCGUUUUAGCCCUGUUUUUAAUGUUUUUUUACGUUUUUGGAGUCCCGGUAACUUAAUUAAGCUUAUUUUAGCAAUAAUUUAACCCAGGGUUUAUAUUUGGAAAAAUACCCAUAGGUGAAAUGUGUUUAUUUUGAUUUUUUAUGGUAGAAUAUGAAGCUUGAAAUUGUGUUAAACAAUUUUUGUUAAGCGAUUUUAUGUGAAAACGAGUAAAACGACAUAAUCGGUAAAAAUUCCUAAUGUUCAUAAGUACAUGUUAGAGUGAGAAUUUGAUGUUUCCAUAGAAGGAAAAAUGAUUAGCAUGUCAUAAAAUAUAAAAAAAUAGGAUGAAGUUUAAUUUCCGAGCCUUAGGGCAAAAGUGUAAAUAUGUAAAAGUUUAGGGGUAAAAAUAUAAUUUUUCUAAAGUUUGAGUCAAGGACUGUUUUAAUAAAUGUGAGUAUUAAAUAAGCUAAAUUUAUUAUUAUAGAUCAAGAAGAAUGAAAUUCGGAGGUAAACCGGGAAAAGAAAAAGAUAAUGGACUAAAUCGAUAUAGUUGAUUGUAUUUUGUUUUGAGGUAAGUUUGCGGUAAAUAAAUAUAAUAUUCUAUUAGUUUAUGUUAAUUUUGUUAAUUUUCAGCAUGUGUAUAUUUAUUUUAUGAAAUUAUUCAAAGAAGACUCAAGCAUGAAUUGACGGAGAAGUAAUUUCAAAAAGUCCCGGUUGAACAUUAAGAAUGUGUAGGAUACAAAUGUCAUGACAUUAGGGUUUAAGGAUACCAUAUAAGACCAUACCAAGGCAUGACAAUUGGUAAGGUUUUUAAGGCAAGGAUAUCAUGUAAGAUCAUGCCAAGACAUGGCAUUGAUAAGUUUCUAUAAGGCAAAGGUCCCAUGUAAGACCAUGCCAAGGCAUGGCAUUGGUGAGUUGAUAAGACAAUGAUACCAUGUAAGACCAUGUCGAGACAUGGCAAUGGUAAGUUUCAAAAGGAUACCACGUAAGACCAUGACAAGUCAUGACAAUGGUAAAAUUACCCGUGUAUCCUUAGUAUUCCAAGUGAUUCAAUGGAAAAUUUUAAAGAGAAUAUCAAGGUAAAGUUAAGUAAGACGAGUUAUACUAAAAAGGGUAAGACAAGUUCAUACUAGAAGAGCAAAGGUAAGUAUAAAAUGUUCAUGUAUGCUUGAUAAGGAAAAAGGUAAAUAAAAUGUAUUAAUAAAUUUGAUUAAAUAAGUAUUUAAGUAAGUGAGUGAGUGAAGAAAUUUAAAAUGUCUAUGACAAUUAAUGAAGUUACAUUAAGUAGUAUAAUGCCAAGUAGUAAGAUAAUUCUUAUGAAUGUUGUUAUUUAUUUGCAUGCAAACUUACUAAGCUUAAUGCUUACCCCCUUUAUUUUCUUUCUUUUUAUAGUUUUGUCAAGCUAACUUAGGGAUCGUAAAGUACGUCGGAGGUCCAG